rnacentral:lncRNA from 1 species
CUGAGUCACUCUUAACAAGACAGGAGAAAGCAGUUUCCUGCUUUCACGCCUUCCCUUUUUUCUUUUCUCUCUUCCUUCCUUCUUCCGUUCCUCUUCCUUCCCUCCCUCUUGACCUUCCUCUCUCCCUCCCUUCUUUCCUUCCUUCCUGUGGCUCUCCUUUGUGAGUGACCUACCUCCGCUUCCUACUCUGUGACUUUGCACAUUCAAUCAUUGCCUGGCUCCACCAGCAGUAUAUAAGGUGAAAGAGGAUCCUGCCAGCUGUUCUAGGCCCAGAGGACACCUCUCUCUCUCUCUCUGUCACUCACACACACACACACACACACACACACUCUCUCUCUCUCUCUCACACACACCCACUUAUUGAUGGGGUAAUAGGAUCAAGAGGUAGCUUUGCAUCAUCAAAAAGAAGUCAGUCAUUCUAGCCUGGAGCUUUAGAAGACGAAGUAAAAAAGAAGUCAGACAGUCCUAGCUUUGAAUCCUGGCCCAGCCACUUACUAGGUGGGAGACCUUGGAUGAGGAAACUGAGGCUGAAACAGGCAAUUAAUUUGUGCAGGUGGCACGUUUACUACAUGGUGGAACCAGGAUCUGAACUCAAAUUUGUCUGUGAAUGUUUUCAGAAUAUUCACCUACAUGUUGCCCAAAGUCAAGGCUGCCCUGGGGCAGUGUGUAUACCUGAAUGACAAUCAGUACAGGCACUGAGGGAAGGGAGAACCGAUGCUGGAGAGGC